ensembl:snRNA U6 U6 spliceosomal RNA
GUGCUCUCUUAGGCAACACAUGUACUGAAAUUGGAAUGAUACGGAGAUUAGCAUGGCCCCUGCACAAGGAUGACAUGCAAAUUCAUGAAGCACUCUAUAUUUUU